UGAUGGCGGCCGGCAUAUCUCCGCCGCCUCUCUCCCCCCGCCGACGACGACGCGUAUUCCAGCACCCCUCUAGCCCCUAUAGGCCUGCCGGAACCUUGCCCAGGCGAUGGGUCACCUGGUGGACGUCCUCGAUCCUUGGCAGCGCAAGCAGUACUGGUCGUCUGUAGGUGCCGGACGGCCCAAAUAUCGCCACCACUAGAUCCAUCUGCCCCUGUCGUUGCUGCCGCAUUGCCAUAUCUCCACGACACCUUUGGACAUGGGGGUGGCAAGAUGGAGUCCCGACUACUGCUGUCGUCGCCUUGAGCUUGCUUGCCCUUGAUGGAAGAACCACAAGCGGGACUGCCACGGGUUGCUCGCUCUCACCAAACCAGACCAACAUCUUCAAGUUAUCAUUGUGUCACGAGAUGAUUGCAUGGAGUAUCUCAUGGGAUAAUAUAAGAGGCAACAAUAGAUAAAAAGAUGCGAAAACAAAAGGUGACAAUAGUAGGAGUGGCAGAUUGUGUAGAGGAAGAGGAUGAGAAGAAACUUGUGCUUCUCAUUCAAUCUUUGUAGAGCUCUCUUGAUGUGCGAUUGUGCACUUGUUGGAUCCUCUUUCUGUGCACUUGUAGUUGCAUAAGUAUUAUGUUGUGCACUUGUAAAAUUAUUUUGAUGUACACUUGUUAGGCCUUGAACCUUGAUGUGUAGAGGAGUCGGUGGAUGAUGUAUUAUAUUUUAUGUGAUGUGCUACUGAAAUGAAAUAUAUAGUUUAUUUGCAAUA